UACGGAGGGUGCGAGCGUUGUCCGGAAUCAUUGGGCGUAAAGGGCGCGUAGGUGGCCCGGUCAGUUCGUGGUGAAAGCGCGGGGCUCAACCCUGCGUCGGCCAUGAAUACUGCCGCGGCUGGAGCACUGUAGAGGCAGGCGGAAUUCCGGGUGUAGCGGUGAAUGCGUAGAGAUCCGGAAGAACACCGGUGGCGAAGGCGGCCUGCUGGGCAGUUGCUGACACUGAGGCGCGACAGCGUGGGGAGCAAACGGG
rnacentral:rRNA from 1 species